rnacentral:rRNA from 1 species
GGAAUAUUGCGCAAUGGGCGAAAGCCUGACGCAGCAACGCCGCGUGGAGGACGAAGGCCUUCGGGUCGUAAACUCCUGUCAGGUGGGACGAAGGGGGCGGAGAUUAAGAGUCAGCGUCUCUUGACGGUACCACCAGAGGAGGCCCCGCCAAACUCCGUCCCAGCAGCCGCGGUAAUACGGAGGGGGCGAGCGUUAUUCGGAAUUAUUGGGCGUAAAGGGCGUGUAGGCGGCCUUCUAAGUCAAAGGUGAAAUCCCUCGGCUCAACCGAGGAACUGCCUUUGAUACUGGCGGGCUCGAGGCCGGGAGAGGGUAGCGGAAUUCCCAGUGUAGCGGUGAAAUGCGUAGAUAUUGGGAGGAACACCAGUGGCGAAGGCGGCUACCUGGACCGGUUCUGACGCUGAGGCGCGAAAGCGUGGGGAGCAAAC